UUCACCCUGCGGUGCUCGUGAGAUAAGCCGCUUAGUUUUGAGCCAACACCUUUACAUUGGGAGCCUGGACUCUGGUUGUAGCUUGUAAGCCUACUUAGAUAGGACACAAAAAGCAAUUAGGAGGGCACCCACCUGCUGAGCGCAGGUUCAAAACGACGGCAUCACGGCAUAGUGGGGUUUAU
rnacentral:other from 1 species